UACGAAGGGGGCUAGCGUUGUUCGGAAUUACUGGGCGUAAAGCGCACGUAGGCGGAUAUUUAAGUCAGGGGUGAAAUCCCGGGGCUCAACCCCGGAACUGCCUUUGAUACUGGGUAUCUCGAGUCCGAGAGAGGUGAGUGGAAUUCCGAGUGUAGAGGUGAAAUUCGUAGAUAUUCGGAAGAACACCAGUGGCGAAGGCGGCUCACUGGCCCGGUACUGACGCUGAGGCGCGAAAGCUAGGGGAGCAAACGGG
rnacentral:rRNA from 1 species